ensembl:misc_RNA
ACUUCGUCUGCCUAUUUCAAGAUCAAAAGUCCUACAGGAUUAUGUCUUUGAACCUCAUAUAUCCUUGUGUUUUUCUGUUCAGUUUUUGAUCCACAGAGAUGUCAUAAAUAUCCCUAUCAUUGCAAAUUCAUAUUAAAAA